AUACGGAGGGUGCAAGCGUUACUCGGAAUCACUGGGCGUAAAGCGCGCGCAGGCGGCUUGAUAAGUUGGACGUGAAAGCCUACGGCUCAACCGUAGAACUGCAUCCAAAACUGUCAAGCUAGAGUCUGGGAGGGGAAGAUGGAAUUAGUUGUGUAGGGGUAAAAUCCGUAGAGAUAACUAGGAAUACCAAAAGCGAAGGCGAUCUUCUGGAACAGUACUGACGCUGAGGCGCGAAAGCGUGGGGAGCAAACAGGAUUAGAAACCCUAGUAGUCC
rnacentral:rRNA from 1 species